UUCCAUGUUUUCAGUGGCAUGGAGGGAGCCCGAGAAGAGCAAACAUUGACAUCACCACCGCUGCCCACAGCAGUGACACCACAGGCAUGGUUUAAAAGGGUCAUAUCCUAGUACGUGAUUUCAGACACACCAGGGAGAAGUGUCUCUACUGCACGGCUCCUGGCCUGGUCUCAGACUAGACCAUAAGCUCCCUCAUUUUUAUAUCCCCAGUGCCAAAAACUAUGCCUGGCACUUGAAGGCACUUAAUACGUAUUUUUGGCUUUGUUGACUAGUUUAAUUAACUCAUUAGUGAUGCAAAGUUCUAACUGCAUAUUUACAGAUAUUUAUGUGUGCACCACAUUAUGGGUGGUGAGAAGUAGGAAUUCAAAGAGACAAAAUCAUACUUCCCCUCCCCAAAAUGCUUAUAAAGCCACCAAGAAGACAAGACAUAGACACAUCAAAUAUAAAUAAAAUAUAAAAGGGUGUACCCUGACAUGCCAAAUAUGUGUUCACAGAAACAAAGUUCCUCUUGCCAAACUCCUAUGGUCUAAAGCAGUUUUUCCUAAAACAUGCUCUCCAGAAUACCAGUUUCUCAGGGUGCCAAAUGUGAGGAAAAGCUUUGAUGGUCAGAUGAGUUCAGGGCUGGGUUAGGCUGAUUUCUUUACCAGAGGGUUUCUUGAAGACUUAAAGAAAUCUGUAUUGAGAUAUAAUUUGUAUAGUAUAAAAUUCACCCACUUUAAGUAAACAAUUUGUACAGAGUUUUUAGUAUAGAGUUGUGCAGCCGUCCCCAUAUCACCGCAGAACAUUUCCAUCACCACCCAAAACACCUCAUGCUGUUUGCAGCCAUUUCCCAUCCCCUUCCUUCCUAGCCCCUGAAAACUAAUAAUUUACCUCCUGCCUCUAUAGAUUUGCCUAUUCUGGACAUUUCACAUAGAUGGAAUCAUUUACUGUGUGACCUUUUGCGACUGGCUUCUUUCAUUUAACUUAAUGUUUUCAAGUUCAUCCACAUUAUUGCAUGUAUGCACUGAUGGACAUUUGGGUUGUUCCCACUUUUUGGCUAUCAUAAAUAGCAUUCUUAUCAACAUUCAUGAGCAAGUUUUAUUUGAUCAUAUGUUUUCAGUUCUCUUGGGUCUAUACAGAGGAGUGGAAUUGCUGGGUCAUAUAGUAAUUCUGCAUUUAGCUUUCAGAGGAACUGCCAGACUCUUUUCCAAAGCAACUGCAUGAUUUUACAUUUCCACCAGCAAUGUACAUGAGUUCCAAUUUCCCUACAUUCUUGCCAUCCCUUAUUAUUGUCUGUCUUUUUUACUACAACCAUCUCAGUGGGUGUAAAAUUAUCUAUUGUGGUUUUGAUUUGUGUUUCCCCAAUGACUAUUUGUUCUGAACAUCUUUUCAUGGGUUUCACGAAUCUUCAAAAGAGGACACAGAGGGCAGCAGUUCCUAAAUGCACUGGACCAUGGAACCAAACUUGCAAAAGGCAGCUCCUGAAAUGCAAGUCCACACCCCAAAGUUGGGAAGCAUUGGCCUGAAGCCAGCCUGUGCCUGGAAAUAACCAAGGAGUAGAGGAGGGGUACCAACCCUAUUCCAGCUGGGACUCCAAAUUCCUGUCUGUAGGAUGGCCUCUGCCCGAGGUCAGAAAGGAGGAGCACCGUAAGGUUCAGGACCAUCUUCUGCACACCGGCUACCAGGAGAGACAGGGUCCCGCUCUACUGCCCAGGCUGGAAUGCAG